UGAUGCGGUGUUGGUGCUCCUGCUGCUGCUUCUGUGGAGAGAAAGCGAGAACGCCUACGUUUCCAGGCUAGCAUCUCCGACAGCCCCUCUCCAAGUCCUGCUCAACACAACGGCGUCAAUGCUCUCGCAAUCGUCAAACUCCGAGAACAACUUACCAGCCUCUUCUCCAAGUUCCGCAUGGGAAUGGGACAGCAUGGUUGGAUACAUGAGCGGCUUGCUUGGUUUCACGGGCUCGGACUACCAUCCCAAUGGUGCUGCCAGGGAAAAGGAC
rnacentral:lncRNA from 1 species